GAUGAACGCUAGCGGCAGGCCUAACACAUGCAAGUCGAGGGGUAGAGGUUUUCGGACCUUGAGACCGGCGCACGGGUGCGUAACGCGUAUGCAAUCUGCCUUGUACUGAGGGAUAGCCCAGAGAAAUUUGGAUUAACACCUCAUAGUAUUUUAGUGUGGCAUCACAUUAUUAUUAAAGGUUACGGUACAAGAUGAGCAUGCGUCCCAUUAGCUAGUUGGUAUGGUAACGGCAUACCAAGGCUACGAUGGGUAGGGGUCCUGAGAGGGAGAUCCCCCACACUGGUACUGAGACACGGACCAGACUCCUACGGGAGGCAGCAGUGAGGAAUAUUGGUCAAUGGGCGCAAGCCUGAACCAGCCAUGCCGCGUGCAGGAUGAAGCAUCUAUGGUGUGUAAACUGCUUUUGUACGGGAAGAAACACUCCUUCGUGAGGGAACUUGACGGUACCGUAAGAAUAAGGAUCGGCUAACUCCGUGCCAGCCGCCGCAGUAACAC
rnacentral:rRNA from 1 species